UGGACACUCUGUAUAUUACAGCGAGAACUUAGAGGACGUUUUUGGUAACUCCUGCAAUUUCUGAAAGGGUCUUCCGGGUAAAAUGGUGCAAGAAGUCACCCUUUGAACCCCUAGAUCGCGCUUAAAGAACGCAAGUAGUGGACGCUUUUCCAUGGACAAAUCUUUGAGGAUUUUUCAUCAUUUUCAGUUGAUGUGCUCGAUUCGACGCCGCAAAGGCCACUGAUGUUCAAACGGUUUGAGGAGGGCAAAAGAGGACACUUGGAUGGAAGCGCUUCAACCGUGAUUAGCAGAUUGCAAACCUGCGCUGCUCAGGAGGACUGAAGAGGCUGGAACUAUUUGUUCAUUGGCUCAUCCUCAAACGUAUACGGGGACUAGAAAUGAUCAUGUGGCUGAGGAAAAUUACGCUGGGGAGGAUUUUGAGGGCAAAGAAAACCGUCUGCAGCUGCUAGUUGAAACAUUUAAUAGAUUGAAACAAUCGUUACUAAACUAAAGAUAGAGGACUU